UGGGGAAUUUUGGACAAUGGGCGAAAGCCUGAUCCAGCAAUGCCGCGUGUGUGAAGAAGGCCUUCGGGUUGUAAAGCACUUUUGUCCGGAAAGAAAUCCUUGGCUCUAAUACAGUCGGGGGAUGACGGUACCGGAAGAAUAAGCACCGGCUAACUACGUGCCAGCAGCCGCGGUAAUACGUAGGGUACAAGCGUUAAUCGGAAUUACUGGGCGUAAAGCGUGCGCAGGCGGUUUGCUAAGACCGAUGUGAAAUCCCCGGGCUCAACCUGGGAACUGCAUUGGUGACUGGCAGGCUAGAGUAUGGCAGAGGGGGGUAGAAUUCCACGUGUAGCAGUGAAAUGCGUAGAGAUGUGGAGGAAUACCGAUGGCGAAGGCAGCCCCCUGGGCCAAUACUGACGCUCAUGCACGAAAGCGUGGGGAGCAAACAGGAUUAGAUACCCUGGUAGUCCACGCCCUAAACGAUGUCAACUAGUUGUUGGGGAUUCAUUUCCUUAGUAACGUAGCUAACGCGUGAAGUUGACCGCCUGGGGAGUACGGUCGCAAGAUUAAAACUCAAAUGAAUUGACGGGGUCAUAGCUG
rnacentral:rRNA from 1 species